rnacentral:rRNA from 1 species
GCCUGGCCCUAAAUCUUGAUGCUCGAUCUAACCGGAGCAUCCGCCCGAGAACUACGAGCACAAACGCUUAAAACUCUAAGGACUUGGCGGUGCUCCAAAUCCACCUAGAGGAGCCUGUUCUGUAAUCGAUGAUCCACGAUAUACCUGACCAUUCCUUGCCCAAAACAGCCUAUAUACCGCCGUCUCCAGCCCACCCCGCAUGAAGGUUCAACAGUGGACGCAAUAGCCGAGUAGCGCUAAUAAGACAGGUCAAGGUAUAGCCUAUGGAAUGGGAGUAAUGGGCUACAUUUUCUAAUUUAGAACAUAACGGCAAAGGCGCAUGAAACUGCACCUAGAAGGAGGAUUUAGCAGUAAAGAGAGAUUAGCGAGCCCUCUUUAAGCCGGCUCUGGAGCACGU